rnacentral:rRNA from 1 species
CCUACGGGGGGCAGCAGUGAGGAAUAUUGGUCAAUGGACGAGAGUCUGAACCAGCCAAGUAGCGUGAAGGAUGACUGCCCUAUGGGUUGUAAACUUCUUUUAUAUGGGAAUAAAACGUUCCACGUGUGGGAUUUUGUAUGUACCAUAUGAAUAAGGAUCGGCUAACUCCGUGCCAGCAGCCGCGGUAAUACGGAGGAUCCGAGCGUUAUCCGGAUUUAUUGGGUUUAAAGGGAGCGUAGGUGGAUUGUUAAGUCAGUUGUGAAAGUUUGCGGCUCAACCGUAAAAUUGCAGUUGAAACUGGCAGUCGUGAGUACAGUAGAGGUGGGCGGAAUUCGUGGUGUAGCGGUGAAAUGCUUAGAUAUCACGAAGAACUCCGAUUGCGAAGGCAGCUCACUGGACUGCAACUGACACUGAGGCUCGAAAGUGUGGGUAUCAAACAGGAUUAGAUACCCUAGUAGUC